ACGGGAGGCAGCAGUAGGGAAUCUUCCGCAAUGGACGAAAGUCUGACGGAGCAACGCCGCGUGAGUGAUGAAGGUUUUCGGAUCGUAAAGCUCUGUUGUUAGGGAAGAACAAGUGCCGUUCAAAUAGGGCGGCACCUUGACGGUACCUAACCAGAAAGCCACGGCUAACUACGUGCCAGCAGCCGCGGUAAUACGUAGGUGGCAAGCGUUGUCCGGAAUUAUUGGGCGUAAAGGGCUCGCAGGCGGUUUCUUAAGUCUGAUGUGAAAGCCCCCGGCUCAACCGGGGAGGGUCAUUGGAAACUGGGGAACUUGAGUGCAGAAGAGGAGAGUGGAAUUCCACGUGUAGCGGUGAAAUGCGUAGAGAUGUGGAGGAACAGCAGUGGCGAGGCGACUCUCUGGUCUGUAACUGACGCUGAGGAGCGAAAGCGUGGGGAGCGAACAGGAUUAGAUACCCUGGUAGUCCACGCCGUAAACGAUGAGUGCUAAGUGUUAGGGGGUUUCCGCCCCUUAGUGCUGCAGCUAACGCAUAAGCACUCCGCCUGGGGAGUACGGUCGCAAGACUGAAACUCAAAGGAAUUGACGGGGGCCCGCACAAGCGGUGGAGCAUGUGGUUUAAUUCGAAGCAACGCGAAGAACCUUACCAGGUCUUGACAUCCUCUGACAAUCCUAGAGAUAGGACGUCCCCUUCGGGGGCAGAGUGACAGGUGGUGCAUGGUUGUCGUCAGCUCGUGUCGUGAGAUGUUGGGUUAAGUCCCGCAACGAGCGCAACCCUUGAUCUUAGUUGCCAGCAUUCAGUUGGGCACUCUAAGGUGACUGCCGGUGACAAACCGGAGGAAGGUGGGGAUGACGUCAAAUCAUCAUGCCCCUUAUGACCUGGGCUACACACGUGCUACAAUGGACAGAACAAAGGGCAGCGAAACCGCGAGGUUAAGCCAAUCCCACAAAUCUGUUCUCAGUUCGGAUCGCAGUCUGCAACUC
rnacentral:rRNA from 1 species